UCUGGGCGUAAGCGUGCGCUAGGCGGUUUUGUAAGACAGAGGUGAAAUCCCCGGAGCUCAACCUGGGAACUGCCUUUGUGACUGCAUGGCUAGAGUGCGGCAGAGGGGGGUGGAAUUCCACGUGUAGAAGUGAAAUGCGUAGAGAUGUGGAGGAACACCGAUGGCGAAGGCAGCCCCCUGGGCUGAUACUGACGCUCAUGCGCGAAAGCGUGGGGAGCAAACAGGAUUAGAUACCCUGGUAGUCCACGCCCUAAACGAUGUCAACUAGCUGUUGGGGGACUUGUCCUUUGGGUGGCGCAUCUAACGCGUUAUUUAUCCGCCUGGAGAGUACGGCCGCGAGGUUA
rnacentral:rRNA from 1 species